AUAUCAAUAAGCGGAGGAAAAGAAACUAACAAGGAUUCCCCUAGUAACGGCGAGUGAACCGGGAAGAGCUCAAAUUUGAAAUCUGGCAGUCUUCGAUUGUCCGAGUUGUAAUCUAUAGAAGCGUUUUCCGUGCUGAACUGUGUAUAAGUCCCUUGGAACAGGGUAUCAAAGAGGGUGACAAUCCCGUACUUUACACAAUCAUCAGUGCUCUGUGAUACGUUCUCUACGAGUCGAGUUGUUUGGGAAUGCAGCUCAAAAUGGGUGGUAAAUUCCAUCUAAAGCUAAAUAUUGGCGAGAGACCGAUAGCGAACAAGUACCGUGAGGGAAAGAUGAAAAGCACUUUGGAAAGAGAGUUAAACAGUACGUGAAAUUGUUGAAAGGGAAACGAACGCUACGUAUCAUGUUUAUUGGACUCAGCCGAUCUUCGGUGUACUUCCUUUAAACGGGUCAACAUCAGUUUUGUCCGAUGGAUAAAGGUAGUAGGAAGGUGGCUCUCUCGGGAGUGUUAUAGCCUAUUGCCGCAUACAUUGGAUGAGACUGAGGACUGCAGCUUGCCUUUAUGGCCGGGGUUCGCCCACGUUCAAGCUUAGGAUGUUGACAUAUACUCGAGCGCACGC
rnacentral:rRNA from 1 species